GAACUUCAUUGUGCCCACAUAUUC
rnacentral:siRNA from 1 species